rnacentral:rRNA from 1 species
CGAACGGGUGAGUAACACGUGAGUAAUCUGCCCUUGGCUUUGGGAUAGCCACCGGAAACGGUGAUUAAUACCGGAUACGACCACUUCACGCAUGUGAUGGUGGUGGAAAGUUUUUCGGCCAGGGAUGUGCUCGCGGCCUAUCAGCUUGAUGGUGAGGUAAUGGCUCACCAUGGCUUCGACGGGUAGCCGGCCUGAGAGGGUGACCGGUCACACUGGGACUGAGACACGGCCCAGACUCCUACGGGAGGCAGCAGUGGGGAAUAUUGGACAAUGGGCGGAAGCCUGAUCCAGCAACGCCGCGUGAGGGAUGACGGCCUUCGGGUUGUAAACCUCUUUCGCCUGUGACGAAGCGCAAGUGACGGUAACAGGUAAAGAAGCACCGGCCAACUACGUGCCAGCAGCCGCGGUAAUACGUAGGGUGCGAGCGUUGUCCGGAAUUAUUGGGCGUAAAGGGCUCGUAGGCGGUUUGUCGCGUCGGGAGUGAAAACCAGGUGCUUAACACCUGGCUUGCUUUCGAUACGGGCAGACUAGAGGUAUUCAGGGGAGAACGGAAUUCCUGGUGUAGCGGUGAAAUGCGCAGAUAUCAGGAGGAACACCGGUGGCGAAGGCGGUUCUCUGGG